AUUGUAGUCAUAUGCUUGUCUCAAAGAUUAAGCCAUGCAUGUCUAAGUAUAAGCAACUUUGUACUGUGAAACUGCGAAUGGCUCAUUAAAUCAGUUAUAGUUUAUUUGAUGGUUUUUGCUACAUGGAUAACUGUGGUAAUUCUAGAGCUAAUACAUGCAUUCAAGCCCCGACUUCUGGAAGGGGUGUAUUUAUUAGAUAAAAAUCAACUUUGUUGGUGAAUCAUAAUAACUUCUCGGACCGCAUGGCCUUGUGCUGGCGGUGCUUCAUUCAAAUAUCUGCCCUAUCAACUGUCGAUGGUAGGAUAGAGGCCUACCAUGGUUGCAACGGGUAACGGGGAAUAAU
rnacentral:rRNA from 1 species